ACUUAAGCAUAUCAAUAAGCGGAGGAAAAGAAACCAACAGGGAUUGCCCCAGUAACGGCGAGUGAAGCGGCAACAGCUCAAAUUUGAAAUCUGGCCCCAGGCCCGAGUUGUAAUUUGCAGAGGAUGCUUUUGGCGCGGUGCCUUCCGAGUUCCCUGGAACGGGACGCCAUAGAGGGUGAGAGCCCCGUACGGUUGGACACCAAGCCUUUGUAAAGCUCCUUCGACGAGUCGAGUAGUUUGGGAAUGCUGCUCUAAAUGGGAGGUACAUUUCUUCUAAAGCUAAAUAUUGGCCAGAGACCGAUAGCGCACAAGUAGAGUGAUCGAAAGAUGAAAAGCACUUUGAAAAGAGGGUUAAACAGCACGUGAAAUUGUUAAAAGGGAAGCGCUUGUGACCAGACUUGCGUCCGGUGAAUCACCCAGCUCUCGCGGCUGGGGCACUUCGCCGGCACAGGCCAGCAUCAGCUUGCCGUCGGGGACAAAAGCUUCAGGAACGUAGCUCCUCUCGGGGAGUGUUAUAGCCUGUUGUAUAAUACCCUUCGGCGGGCUGAGGUACGCGCUCCGCAAGGAUGCUGGCGUAAUGGUCAUCAGCGACCCGUCUUGAAACACGGACCAAGGAGUCAACCUUAUGUGCGAGUGUUUGGGUGUUAAACCCCUACGCGUAAUGAAAGUGAACGCAGGUGAGAGCUUCGGCGCAUCAUCGACCGAUCCUGAUGUUCUCGGAUGGAUUUGAGUAAGAGCAUAUAGGGUUGGACCCGAAAGAAGGUGAACUAUGCGUGUGUAGGGUGAAGCCAGAGGAAACUCUGGUGGAGGCUCGCAGCGGUUCUGACGUGCAAAUCGAUCGUCAAACAUGCGCAUGGGGGCGAAAGACUAAUCG
rnacentral:rRNA from 1 species